AAGCAACGCCGCGUGCAGGAUGAAGAUUUUCGGAUUGUAAACUGCUUUUUCUACGUGAAGAAUAUGACGGUAACGUAGGAAUAAGGAUCGGCUAACUCCGUGCCAGCAGCCGCGGUCAUACGGGGGAUCCAAGCGUUAUCCGGAUUGACUGGGCGUAAAGAGUUGCGUAGGUGGUCUUUUAAGCAAAUGGUGAAAUCUUGUGGCUCAACCAUGAGACUGUUAUUUGAACUGGAAGACUCGAGAGCGAGAGAGGUUACUGGAAUUCCCUGUGUAGGAGUGAAAUCCGUAGAUAUAGGGAGGAACACCAAUGGCGUAGGCAGGUAACUGGCUCGUUUCUGACACUGAGGCACGAAAGCGUGGGGAGCGAACGGGAUUAGAUACCCCGGUAGUCCACGCCGUAAACGAUGGAUGCUAGCUGUGAGGAGUAUCGACCCUUCUCGUAGCGAAGCUAACGCGUUAAGCAUCCCGCCUGGGGAGUACGGUCGCAAGAUUAAAACUCAAAGGAAUUGACGGGGACCCGCACAAGCGGUGGAGCGUGUUCUUUAAUUCGAUGAUAAGCGAAGAACUUUACCAGGGCUUGACAUCCUGCUAAAUUCUCCGAAAGGAGAGUGUGCCUUCGGGCCGCAGUGACAGGUGUUGCAUGGCCGUCGUCAGCUCGUGUCGUGAGAUGUUUGGUUAAGUCCAUCAACGAGCGCAACCCUUAUGAAUAGUUGGAUUUUUCUAUUCGGACCGCCUCGGUAAUGGGGAGGAAGGAGGGGAUGAUGUCAGGUCAUUAUUACCCUUACGUCCUGGGCUAGAGACGCGCUACAAUGGCCGGUACAAAGGGCUGCCAACCCGCGAGGGGGAGCAAAACCCGAUAAAGCCGGUCUCAGUUCGGAUUGCAGGCUGAAACUCGCCUGCAUGAAGCCGGAAUCGCUAGUAAUCGUGAGUCAGCACAUCACGGUGAAUCCGUUCCCGGGUCUUGUACACACCGCCCGUCAAACCAUGAAAGUCGGGGGAGCCCGAAGCGCGAACUUGUUUCGUUCUAAGGCUAAUUCGAUGAUUGGGGUUAAGUCGUAACAAGGUAGCCGAAUCUCUGAAGAUCCGCGCGACCC
rnacentral:rRNA from 1 species